UACGGAGGGUGCGAGCGUUGUCCGGAAUCACUGGGCGUAAAGGGCGCGUAGGUGGCCCGUCAAGCGCGCGGUGAAAGCCCGGGGCUCAACCCCGGGUCGGCCGUGCGGACUGGCGGGCUCGAGCACUGUAGGGGCGGUGGAAUUCCGGGUGUAGCGGUGGAAUGCGUAGAGAUGUGGAGGAAUACCGAUGGCGAAAGGCAGCCUCCUGGGCCAACACUGACGCUCAUCGCACGAAAGCGUGGGGAGCAAACAGG
rnacentral:rRNA from 1 species